rnacentral:lncRNA from 1 species
GGUCUCUUCAGCAUAGCAACAGCAGCGUAGCUGAACAUCUUACGGAUGGCCCAGGGCUCCAAAGGCUCGUUUCCUAAGUGAGAGAGAGCCUGGCUGAAGCUGUAUUACCAUUCAUUCUCCAGCCUCCGAAGUCUCAAAGCAUCACUUCCACCAUACUCUAACUGUCAAGACAAACACAAAGGCCCAGAGAAGGGGUCUCACUAUGUUGUCUGGAGUGCUGUGGUGGAGUGGAGUGGCUAUUCACAGCUGAGUUUGCAGAGUAAACCACUACCCUGAAAUCUGGAAAGGCAGGUGCACCCACAGAUCCUCAGCUGAGAUCCAAUUACCUGAAAUAGAAGCUGCCAUUAGGAACACUUAAAAGAGCCUGUUCUGCUGGGACACAGAAUCACUUGCUCCAUCUCAUACAUUGAUGAUGAUUAAUUUGUAUGUGUACCUUCCAAAAAAGAUGGUUGUGUUUGAAUGGAGGCCUUCUGGACAGGAAAAUUGCAAAGUACAAUUAACAUUUGAGUCUGUCUGAGUCAUGAAGAAAUGGAGAUUACUGAAAAUAAUUCAUUUUGGUAUCUUCUUACAUCCUGAGAGACUAAUCUUUCCAAGUUCAUCUGAGGCUCCUCUUCUCCAUGACAACCUCAUCCAGGGAUUUCUUCCUGUCCUGGUGUUUUAUGACAUAAUCACAUCCUUCCUGAGAUAAUGAGCACACAAUUGCCUGGAUACCUGAAGGAAUGGAGACAGCGGCAGAAAACACUGCAGAGAGGUGGAAACAUCCGUUAAUAUUUUAAAAUCCCAUUACUGCUACCAACAAUAAUAAUGGAUGCAUAGAAAUAGAUCUGGAUUAGCUGAGCUUGAAACAGUCCAUCUCACACACACACAAAAGAAUUUCAGAUACAGUGAACCCACAUGUUGAAGCUUUCUAGUAUAAUAAAAAUUUCAACUGUUCUGUUGAAUCAUCUGCCUGAUUGGAGGCUACAGAAAAGAUGUCAUCUUAGGAGUGCUUGCUCUGAGUGAGGCUCAUCUUCAAAUCUGAAUGACCACAAGGAGAUUUGAUUAUACAUGUGAACACCUCAGAAGGCACAGCCCACCCAGAAGGCAGACAGGUCAGGCUGCUUUUUCUUCAUUGCUUGGAUUCAAUCCUCCGGGCGGCUCAGGCUCAAACAUAACUUAAGCAUGAUUAAACUUUAGAAGAAGCUGCCAGGAAGACUGUGAAAUCUUCAUGCCCAAGGAUCCCUAAAAUUAGGAGCAACAACCACUUGGCUCAGACGGUUUAUGGAGGCAAAGGUUUGGAUGGGAUUAGAGAUUUCUAAAUGUGAGUUCGUGUCCUCUGCCAGACCACCUUACUUCCACCAUUCCUCAGCAAAUCAAGAAAAACAGGAGAAAAGACAUGCCUUUCCAUAAGUUAAAUCUAUUCUGUUUUAAUUCUAUAUUAUAUCUGCUGUACAACUUCUUUUGUUUGUAACACCAUAUUGUUGCUAGUAACUGGAAAUUAAUUUUCACAUGCCUCAGCUUAGAAAAAUAAAAAGCAGCCCUGCAUCAAUC